CGCAAGGCGGCGGCGUGUCCCAUCCUUCCCCUCUCCGCCGCCGGCCUCGGCCAAGGCGCCAGCCUCAAGGAAGCGUCGGCUGCGGCGCCUCCCACCUCAGAUUCGGUUUGCCGUCCUCUGCAAUGGCCCGAGGUCGUGCGCCGCCGGAUCCACAAACGGGCAUUUCUUCAGCACGCACCGUCAAGUGCCUACUGUGCGCCAGGAACGCGAGUGACGGCGCCGGGCCGGGCCAGGGAACCAGCGCUUGACGGACACUUCCAGUAGUGCUCCCUAAUUGGGGUCGGUUUUCACCGGCCUGGCUGAUUGAGCCCUCCCUCGUGCAGACGUUCUGAGGACCUUUUGUGUGCCAGCUCGUGUCAUGCGCCCGGGGAGGGGAAACGCUGAGUUUAACCCCCAGGAGCUCCUGUUUUCCUGAGAGAGAGGACAGUAAACUGAUGAGAAUGACCCUAGGAGUCACUAUAAGAUUUGGAUCCCUCUGGCUGCAUGUGGGAAAUGGACUCAGACCGUGCAGGAGACCAAGGAGGAGGUGACUGCAGUAGUCCAGGAAACCACUGAGCACAUAAACAGAGAGACUUUCCAAAAGGGAAGUGGUUACAGAGAUGAUGGAGGCACCCAGAAGCCAAGCAAGAAACUGCAAAGAAGCUCAGAGAUUUGCAGCAACAGAAAGCCAUUGCCACCUCUAAGCUGGAGGGACCGAGGGAGCAGGAAAAGUUACAGGAGCCUGGGGCCUGGUCACUUAAGCCCAGUGGACUGUCUUGCAGGAGCUGGAGUCAUGGAGGAGACUCAGUCGUUGAUAGAGAUGAGAUAUGGAAAGAACUUAACCACAACCUUAAAAAAGAAUAGGAAAGAGGAGACUUCCCUAUCAGCAUUGUUAAAAGGCAAUCAUACACUAUUAUAAUAAGAACAGUGGGGUGCUAUUGCAAGGCAAAGCAGACCAGUGAGGCAAAGCAGUGGUGCUGGAGCAGCCCACAG